CCGAAAGCUAUUUAGGUAGCGCCUCGUGAAUUCAUCUCCGGGGGUAGAGCACUGUUUCGGCUAGGGGGCCAUCCCGGCUUACCAACCCGAUGCAAACUGCGAAUACCGGAGAAUGUUAUCACGGGAGACACACGGCGGGUGCUAACGUCCGUCGUGAAGAGGGAAACAACCCAGACCGCCAGCUAAGGUCCCAAAGUCAUGGUUAAGUGGGAAACGAUGUGGGAAGGCCCAGACAGCCAGGAUGUUGGCUUAGAAGCAGCCAUCAUUUAAAGAAAGCGUAAUAGCUCACUGGUCGAGUCGGCCUGCGCGGAAGAUGUAACGGGGCUAAACCAUGCACCGAAGCUGCGGCAGCGACGCUGAUGCGUUGUUGGGUAGGGGAGCGUUCUGUAAGCCUGUGAAGGUGGCCUGUGAGGGUUGCUGGAGGUAUCAGAAGUGCGAAUGCUGACAUAAGUAACGAUAAAGCGGGUGAAAAGCCCGCUCGCCGGAAGACCAAGGGUUCCUGUCCAACGUUAAUCGGGGCAGGGUGAGUCGACCCCUAAGGCGAGGCCGAAAGGCGUAGUCGAUGGGAAAC
rnacentral:rRNA from 1 species